rnacentral:rRNA from 1 species
CCUACGGGUGGCAGCAGUGGGGAAUAUUGGACAAUGGGGGGAACCCUGAUCCAGCCAUGCCGCGUGUGUGAAGAAGGCCCUCGGGUUGUAAAGCACUUUCAGUGAGGAAGAACGCCUGGUGGUUAAUACCCAUCAGGAAAGACAUCACUCACAGAAGAAGCACCGGCUAACUCCGUGCCAGCAGCCGCGGUAAAACGGAGGGUGCGAGCGUUAAUCGGAAUUACUGGGCGUAAAGCGCGCGUAGGUGGCUUGAUAAGCCGGUUGUGAAAGCCCCGGGCUCAACCUGGGAACGGCAUCCGGAACUGUCAAGCUAGAGUGCAGGAGAGGAAGGUAGAAUUCCCGGUGUAGCGGUGAAAUGCGUAGAGAUCGGGAGGAAUACCAGUGGCGAAGGCGGCCUUCUGGACUGACACUGACACUGAGGUGCGAAAGCGUGGGUAGCAAACAGGAUUAGAUACCCCUGUAGUC